GUCAGCAGGCAAGCAGCCAUGGAGAAGAGACUGGGAGCUCUUUUAGGACUUCUGUGGAUCCAGCUUGGCUGGGUGAGGGGGAUGCAGGUGGAGCAGAGUCCUUCAGUCCUGAAUGUCCUGAAGGGAGCCAACUCUACCCUGCGCUGCGGUUUUUCUGUCACUGUGACAAGCAUUCAGUGGUUCCGACAGCAUCCUGGGGGCGGCCUGGUCAGUCUACUUUUUCUGACUUCAGAAAUGAAAGAGAAUGGAAGGUUAAAGUCAGUGGUUAACUUCAAGGAGCGCUACAGCACCCUUCACAUCACAGCCUCCCAGCUGGCAGACUCAGGCACCUACCUCUGUGCGGCGGAUGCACAGUGCUCCCAGGCCACCUGCUGCCUGCACUCAAACUGCAGCCCCAGUCUCUGA